GAUGAACGCUGACAGAAUGCUUAACACAUGCAAGUCGACUUGAACUUCGGUUUGGGUGGCGGACGGGUGAGUAACGCGUACAGAACUUGCCUCACAGCUAGGGACAACAUUUGGAAACGAAUGCUAAUACCUGAUAUUAUGAUUAUAUGGCAUCGUAUAAUUAUGAAAGCUAUAUGCGCUGUGAGAGAGCUUUGCGUCCCAUUAGCUAGUUGGAGAGGUAACAGCUCACCAAGGCGAUGAUGGGUAGCCGGCCUGAGAGGGUGAUCGGCCACAAGGGGACUGAGAAACGGCCCUUACUCAUACGGGAGGCAGCAGUGGGGAAUAUUGGACAAUGGACCGAGAGUCUGAUGCAGCAAUUCUGUGUGCAAGAUGAAGUUUUUCGGAAUGUAAAGUGCUUUCAGUUGGGAAGAAAAAAAUGACGGUACCAACAGAAGAAGAGACGGCUAAAUACGUG
rnacentral:rRNA from 1 species